rnacentral:rRNA from 1 species
AGAGUUUGAUCCUGGCUCAGGAUGAACGCUGGCGGCGUGCCUAAUACAUGCAAGUCGAGCGAACGGACGAGAAGCUUGCUUCUCUGAUGUUAGCGGCGGACGGGUGAGUAACACGUGGAUAACCUACCUAUAAGACUGGGAUAACUUCGGGAAACCGGAGCUAAUACCGGAUAAUAUUUUGAACCGCAUGGUUCAAAAGUGAAAGACGGUCUUGCUGUCACUUAUAGAUGGAUCCGCGCUGCAUUAGCUAGUUGGUAAGGUAACGGCUUACCAAGGCAACGAUGCAUAGCCGACCUGAGAGGGUGAUCGGCCACACUGGAACUGAGACACGGUCCAGACUCCUACGGGAGGCAGCAGUAGGGAAUCUUCCGCAAUGGGCGAAAGCCUGACGGAGCAACGCCGCGUGAGUGAUGAAGGUCUUCGGAUCGUAAAACUCUGUUAUUAGGGAAGAACAUAUGUGUAAGUAACUGUGCACAUCUUGACGGUACCUAAUCAGAAAGCCACGGCUAACUACGUGCCAGCAGCCGCGGUAAUACGUAGGUGGCAAGCGUUAUCCGGAAUUAUUGGGCGUAAAGCGCGCGUAGGCGGUUUUUUAAGUCUGAUGUGAAAGCCCACGGCUCAACCGUGGAGGGUCAUUGGAAACUGGAAAACUUGAGUGCAGAAGAGGAAAGUGGAAUUCCAUGUGUAGCGGUGAAAUGCGCAGAGAUAUGGAGGAACACCAGUG